rnacentral:rRNA from 1 species
AAUCUUCCGCAAUGUACGUAAGUCUGACGGACCAAUGCCGCGUGAGUGAUGAAGGUUUUCGGAUCGUAAAACUAUGUUGUUAGGGAAUAACAAGUAUCGAAGUUAUAUGUCGGUACCUUGACGUUAUAUUUCUAUAAAGCCCCGACUAACUACGUGCCAGCAGCCGCGGUAAUACGUAGGGGGCGAGCGUUGUCCGGAAUUAUUGGGCGUAAAGCGCGCGCAGGCGGUAUUCUAAGUCUGAUGUGAAAUCUCGUAGCUUAACAACGAGAGGUCAUUGGAAACUGGGAGACUUGAGUACAGAAGAGGAGAGUGGAAUUCCACGUGUAGCGGUGAAAUGCGUAGAUAUGUGGAGGAACACCAGUGGCGGAGGCGGCUCUCUGGUCUGUAACUGACGCUGAGGUGCGAAAGCGUGGGGAGCGAACA